UACGUAGGGGGCUAGCGUUGUCCGGAAUCAUUGGGCGUAAAGAGCGUGUAGGCGGUCCGGUAAGUCCGUUGUGAAAGUCAAGGGCUCAACCCUUGAAUGCCGGCGGAUACUGUCGGGCUAGAGUCCGGAAGAGGCAAGUGGAAUUCCCGGUGUAGCGGUGAAAUGCGCAGAUAUCGGGAGGAACACCUAUGGCGAAGGCAGCUUGCUGGGACGGAACUGACGCUGAGACGCGAAAGCGUGGGGAGCAAACAGG
rnacentral:rRNA from 1 species